AAUUGGAGGGCAAGUCUGGUGCCAGCAGCCGCGGUAAUUCCAGCUCCAAUAGCGUAUAUUAAAGUUGUUGCAGUUAAAAAGCUCGUAGUUGAAUUUCGGGAUCAAUAUUUCGGUCAUGCCGUUGGUAUGCACUGUUAUCAUUGAUUUCUCACCUUCUAAAGAACCGUAAUGCCAUUAAUUUGGUGUUACGGGGAAUUAGGACUGUUACCUUGAAAAAAUUAGAGUGUUUAAAGCAGGCUCACGCUUGAAUACAUUAGCAUGGAAUAAUGAAAUAGGACAUCCGAUUCUAUUUUGUUGGUUUCUAGGAUCGAUGUAAUGAUUAAUAGGGAUAGUUGGGGGCAUUAGUAUUCAAUUGUCAGAGGUGAAAUUCUUGGAUUUAUUGAAGACUAACUACUGCGAAAGCAUUUGCCAAGGAUGUUUUCAUUAAUCAAGAACGAAAGUUAGGGGAUCGAAGACGAUCAGAUACCGUCGUAGCCUUAACCAUAAACUAUGCCGACUAGGGAUCGGAUGAUGUUAAUUUUUUAAUGACUCAUUCGGCGCCUUACGGGAAACCAAAGUGU
rnacentral:rRNA from 1 species